rnacentral:rRNA from 1 species
AUGCUGGUCGUCACACCUAUUCAAAUUUGCGCACAUUUAGACCUGUUCCAAAUGAAACCUUGUUUUAGGGAAAUGUUCCAAAUGAAACUGACCCCGCCAGUAAUGGCAUCGAGGGAGUACCGGGAGUUUGGAUCCCUGCUCGAGAUCCCGCGAAAACCAGAUCGCGGGAUGAGAAGGCUAGAAUCCUCUGCAUUUGGUUCAAAUAAAUGGAACAGAAGGAAAGAUGAAGUUUCCUUUGAUCUCUAUUUUAAAGGAAAAAAACACAGGAAAUUUACAAUUCACUCGCACCUCCUUUUCAAAUUAAUAUGCACGAAAAGUUAUUGA